GUUUAUGAGGUAGGACUGUGUUUAUGAGGUAGGACUGUGUUUGAGGUAGGACUGUGUUUAUGAGGUAGGACUGUGUUUGAGGUAGGACUGUGUUUAUGAGGUAGGACUGUGUAUGAGGUAGAAACGUGUUUAUGAGGUCGCCUGUGUUUAUGAGGUAGGACUGUGUUUAUGAGGUAGGACUGUGUAUGAGGUAGGACUGUGUAUGAGGUAGAAACGUGUUUAUGAGGUCGCCUGUGUUUAUGAGGUAGGACUGUGUUUAUGAGGUAGGACUGUGUUUAUGAGGUAGGACUGUGUUUAUGAGGUAGGACUGUGUUUGAGGUCGCCUGUGUUUAUGAGGUAGGACUGUGUUUGAGGUAGGACUGUGUUUGAGGUAGGACUAUGUUUGAGGUAGGACUGUGUUUAUGAGGUAGGACUGUGUUUAUGAGGUCGCCUGUGUUUAUGAGGUAGGACUGUUUAUGAGGUAGGACUGUUUAUGAGGUAGGACUGUGUUUGAGGUAGGACUGUGUUUAUGAGGUCGCCUGUGUUUAUGAGGUAGGACUGUGUUUAUGAGGUCGCCUGUGUUUAUGAGGUAGGACUGUGUUUAUGAGGUAGGACUGUGUUUGAGGUAGGACUGUGUUUGAGGUAAAAACAUGUUUAUGAGGUAGGACUGUGUUUGAGGUAGGACUGUGUUUGAGGUAGGACUGUGUUUAUGAGGUAGGACUGUGUUUAUGAGGCCGCCUGUGUUUAUGAGGUAGGACUGUGUUUAUGAGGUAGGACUGUGUUUAUGAGGUAGGACUGUGUUUGAGGCCGCCUGUGUUUAUGAGGUAGGACUGUGUUUAUGAGGUAGCCUGUGUUUAUGAGGUAGCCUGUGUUUAUGAGGUAGCCUGUGUUUAUGAGGUAGGACUGUGUUUGAGGUAGGACUGUGUUUAUGAGGUAGGACUGUGUUUAUGAGGUCGCCUGUGUUUAUGAGGUCGCCUGUGUUUAUGAGGUAGGACUGUGUUUAUGAGGUAGGACUGUGUUUGAGGUAGGACUGUGUUUAUGAGGUCGCCUGUGUUUAUGAGGUAGGACUGUGUUUGAGGUAGGACUGUGUUUAUGAGGUAGGACUGUGUUUGAGGUAGGACUGUGUUUAUGAGGUCGCCUGUGUUUAUGAGGUAGGACUGUGUUUAUGAGGUCGCCUGUGUUUAUGAGGUAGGACUGUGUUUAUGAGGUAGGACUGUGUUUAUGAGGUAGGACCGUGUUUAUGAGGUCGCCUGUGUUUAUGAGGUAGGACUGUGUUUAUGAGGUAGGACUGUGUUUAUGAGGUAGGACCGUGUUUAUGAGGUAGCCUGACCACCCGCCACCACUACGCCACCAAUACCACACCAAUUGAUGGUCUCUGGGAGCACAAUGCUUUCUCAACGUUUUCAAACCAGGCACAUUGAUGAAUGUGGAUUAGGAUUCUAUGGAAGUGCAGGUCCUGCGUUUACACCUCCAGCCCAAUUCUGAUUAUUUUUCCACAAAUUGGUCUUUUGAUCAAUCAGAUCAGCUCUUUUGCCAAUAACUGGGCAAAAGAUCACAAUUGGGCUGCCUGUGUAAACACAGCCAACUGGCAAUUAUUGUUCAGAUUAAAUAUUUAAAGAUGAGCCUUUAUGUCCCUGCCGCGCAUUGGCUCUGUCACGGACGUCCUCCUCUUCAUCUGAAGAGGAGAGGUGAGAAGGAUCGGAGGACCAAAAUGUGGCGUGGUAUGUGUUCAUCAUGAAUUUUAAUAAAGAAACCACUGAAACACACUAUACAAAAACAAUUCAACGAAAUAACGACCGUGAAGCUAAUGAGAACUGUGCUGACACCAGCAAUCAACAUAGACAAUCACCCACAAACAAACAGUGCAACCCAGGCUACCUAAGUAUGAUUCUCAAUCAGAGACAACUAAUGACACCUGCCUCUGAUUGAGAACCAUCCUAGGCCGAAACAUAGAAAUCCCAAAAUCAUAGAAAAACUGAGCCCGUCUGACUUUCUUCUCUAAAUCUUUUGGCUUCAUUAUUGAAAUAUUAUUUCCACAAUUUAAAAACAUAUUUAAACUUUAUUCAGUAAUGAAACUAAUCUAAAAAAUAAUCAGUUGGUACUAAUACGCUUCUGUAGGAUUACUCCCAUGGUGAUCCUUGAGGGGUAUAUAUAUAGAUAUAGAGAGAGAGAGUGUGCAAAGCUGUCAUCAAGGCAAAGGGAGGCUAUUUGAAGAAUCUCAAAUAUAAAAUAUAUUUUGAUUUGUUUAACACUUUUUUUUGGUUACUACAUGAUUCCAUAUGUGUUAUUUCAGUGUUGUGAUGUCUUCACUAUUAUUCUACAAUGUAAAAAUAAAGAAAACCCCUUGAAUGAG